GUUGCCAAACAAAGUAAAAUUUUUUCCUACCCACUCAAAAUUCGAUUUCGAGCACCCCUAUGGCAAAUUAAAGCAAGAGAGACAGUGGGUGAGCCAAAAAUCGCAUACAAAGUUCGGUGGAGCCGUCGUGGCCAAAAUCCCAAAAUACCUCUGAUGAGCUCCUUCCCGCUUCUCGUUUCACGCGAUUUUUCAGUCAUUAUGUUCACUGU
rnacentral:lncRNA from 1 species